rnacentral:rRNA from 1 species
AACGCGAAGAACCUUACCUACCUUUGAAUCCACGGAAUCUGUCAGAGAUGAUGGAGUGCCUUCGGGAACCGUGAGACAGGUGCUGCAUGGCUGUCGUCAGCUCGUGUCGUGAGAUGUUGGGUUAAGUCCCGUAACGAGCGCAACCCUUAUCCUUAGUUACCAGCGAGUAAAGUCGGGGACUUUAAGGAGACUGCCGGUGAUAAACCGGAGGAAGGUGGGGAUGACGUCAAGUCCUCAUGGCCCUUACAGGUAGGGCAACACACGUGCUACAAUGGCCGGUACAGAGGGUAGCCAACCCGCGAGGGGGAGCCAAUCUCAAAAAGCCGGUCGUAGUCCGGAUUGGAGUCUGCAACUCGACUCCAUGAAGCUGGAAUCGCUAGUAAUCGCGGAUCAGCACGCCGCGGUGAAUACGUUCCCGGGCCUUGUACACACCGUAGUAC